UCCGAAGCGCGCGUAUUCCAAAUUUGUUUAAAAACCACGGCGGCUAAACUGGCGCCAGCGCAAUACUGAUCAAUACUUGAACUGUCGGCGAGGCAUCUCCCCCAAGUGCAGCGCCGAUAUUGGUACCAACGGACCGCGUACCUUUGUUUUACUCCUAAUGGUCUUAACCCGGAUUCACCCCCCAGAACCCGG
rnacentral:sRNA from 1 species